rnacentral:rRNA from 1 species
CAGCCGCCGCGGGAAUACGAAGGGGGCUAGCGUUGUUUGGAAUUACAGGGCGUAAAGCGCGCGUAGGCGGAUUGCUAAGUUGGGGGUGAAAGCCCGGGGCUCAACCUCGGAAUUGCCUUCAAUACUGGCGAUCUUGAGUAUGGAAGAGGUAUGUGGAACUCCGAGUGUAGAGGUGAAAUUCGUAGAUAUUCGGAAGAACACCAGUGGCGAAGGCGACAUACUGGUCCACUACUGACGCUGAGGCUCGAAAGCGUGGGGAGCAAACAGGAUUAGAUACCCCUGUAGUCCCUGUCUCUUAUAC